rnacentral:rRNA from 1 species
AUACGGAGGAUCCGAGCGUUAUCCGGAUUUAUUGGGUUUAAAGGGUGCGCAGGCGGGAGAUUAAGUCGGCGGGGAAAUUUUGCAGCUCAACUGUAAAAGUGCCUUCGAAACUGGUUUCCUUGAGUGUAGAUGAAGUAGGCGGAAUUUGUGGGGUAGCGGUGAAAUGCAUAGAUAUCACGAGGAACUCCGAUUGCGCAGGCAGCUUACUAAACUACUACUGACGAUCAGGCACGAAGGCGUGGGGAUCAAACAGGAUUAGAUACCCUGGUAGUCCACGCAGUAAACGAUGAUUACUAGCUGUUUGCGAUACAAUGUAAGCGGCUGAGCGAAAGCGUUAAGUAAUCCACCUGGGGAGUACGUUCGCAAGAAUGAAACUCAAAUGAAUUGACGGGG